rnacentral:rRNA from 1 species
AUUGAACGCUGGCGGCAUGCUUUACACAUGCAAGUCGAACGGUAACAGGCCGCAAGGUGCUGACGAGUGGCGAACGGGUGAGUAAUGCAUCGGAACGUGCCCAGUCGUGGGGGAUAACGCAGCGAAAGCUGCGCUAAUACCGCAUACGAUCUAUGGAUGAAAGCGGGGGACCGUAAGGCCUUGCGCUCACGGAGCGGCCGAUGGCAGAUUAGGUAGUUGGUGGGAUAAAAGCUUACCAAGCCGACGAUCUGUAGCUGGUCUGAGAGGACGACCAGCCACACUGGGACUGAGACACGGCCCAGACUCCUACGGGAGGCAGCAGUGGGGAAUUUUGGACAAUGGGCGCAAGCCUGAUCCAGCAAUGCCGCGUGCAGGAAGAAGGCCUUCGGGUUGUAAACUGCUUUUGUCAGGGAAGAAAUCUUCUGGGUUAAUACCUCGGGAGGAUGACGGUACCUGAAGAAUAAGCACCGGCUAACUACGUGCCAGCCGCCGCUGUAAUAC